CCUACGGGCGGCAGCAGUGAGGAAUAUUGGUCAAUGGCCGGAAGGCUGAACCAGCCAAGCCGCGUGAAGGACGAAGGUGCCAAGCAUUGUAAACUUCUUUUGUCAAGGGACAAAAUCAGGCUCGAGAGCCUGACCGAGGGUACUUGAAGAAAAAGCAUCGGCUAACUCCGUGCCAGCAGCCGCGGUAAUACGGAGGAUGCGAGCGUUAUCCGGAAUCAUUGGGCGUAAAGCGUUCGUAGGCGGUAUGUCAAGUCUGAUGUUAAAGCCCGGGGCUCAACUCCGGUUCGGCAUUGGAUACUGGCAAACUAGAAUGUGGUAGAGGUAAAGGGAAUUCCUGGUGUAGCGGUGAAAUGCGUAGAUAUCAGGAGGAACAUCGGUGGCGAAAGCGCUUUACUGGACCAUUAUUGACGCUGAGGAACGAAAGCCAGGGGAGCAAAUGGGAUUAGAUACCCGGGUAGUC
rnacentral:rRNA from 1 species